UUUACAACGGAGAGUUUGAUCCUGGCUCAGGACGAACGCUGGCGGCGGGCCUAACACAUGCAAGUCGCAGGGGAUUCUCCGAGCUUGCUCGGAGAUGAGACUGGCGCACGGGUGAGUAACACGUAAACAAUCUGCCUGCAGGCGGGGGAUAACCACGCGAAAGCGUGGCUAAUACCGCAUGAUGCAGCGGGGCCGCAUGGUCACAGUUGUUAAAGCCCUUCGGGGCGCCUGCAGAUGAGUUUGCGCCGCAUUAGUUAGUUGGUGGGGUAACGGCCUACCAAGACGAUGAUGCGUAGGGGUUCUGAGAGGAUGAUCCCCCACACUGGCACUGAGACACGGGCCAGACUCCUACGGGAGGCAGCAGUGAGGAAUAUUGCGCAAUGGGCGAAAGCCUGACGCAGCCACGCCGCGUGCCGGAAGAAGGUUCUUUGAAUCGUAAACGGCUUUUGUCGGGGAAGAAUGGCCUGGAUUCGUCCGGGUUUGACGGUACCCGUUGAAUAAGCACCGGCUAACUCCGUGCCAGCAGCCGCGGUAAUACGGAGGGUGCAAGCGUUGUCCGGAAUCAUUGGGUGUAAAGGGUGCGUAGGCGGAGUCUUAAGUCUGUGGUGAAAUCUUACCGCUCAACGGUAAACGUGCCAUGGAAACUGGGAUUCUUGAGUGUGACAGAGGCAGGUGGAAUUCGUAGUGUAGCGGUGAAAUGCAUAGAUAUUACGAAGAACACCAGUGGCGAAGGCGGCCUGCUGGGUCACAACUGACGCUGAGGCACGAGAGCGUGGGGAGCAAACAGGAUUAGAUACCCUGGUAGUCCACGC
rnacentral:rRNA from 1 species